rnacentral:rRNA from 1 species
UACGAAGGUCCCAAGCGUUGUUCGGAAUCACUGGGCGUAAAGGGCGUGUAGGCGGGAAGGAAAGUCAGAUGUGAAAUCCCCAGGCUCAACCUGGGAACUGCAUUUGAAACUCCCUUUCUUGAGUACCGGAGAGGAAAGUGGAAUUCCUGGUGUAGAAGUGAAAUUCGUAGAUAUCAGGAGGAACACCAGUGGCGAAGGCGGCUUUCUGGACGGUAACUGACGCUGAGACGCGAAAGCGUGGGGAGCAAACAGG